AGAGUUUGAUCAUGGCUCAGAAUCAACGCUGGCGGCGCGCCUAACACAUGCAAGUCGAACGAGAAAGUGGGGCAACCCAUGAGUACAGUGGCGUACGGGUGAGUAACACGUGGAUGAUCUGCCUUCUGGUGAGGAAUAACCCUGGGAAACCGGGGCUAAUACCGCAUAAGCCCGAGAGGGGAAAGUCGCAAGACGCCGGAAGAGGAGUCCGCGGCCGAUUAGCUAGUUGGCAGGGUAAAAGCCUACCAAGGCGAAGAUCGGUAGCCGGCCUGAGAGGGCACACGGCCACACUGGCACUGAAACACGGGCCAGACUCCUACGGGAGGCAGCAGUGGGGAAUCUUGCACAAUGGGGGAAACCCUGAUGCAGCGACGCCGCGUGAGCGAUGAAGCCCUUCGGGGUGUAAAGCUCUUUCGGCAGGGAAGAUGAUGACGGUACCUGCAGAAGCAGCUGCGGCUAACUACGUGCCAGCAGCCGCGGUAAUACGUAGGCAGCAAGCGUUGUUCGGAGUUACUGGGCGUAAAGGGUGUGUAGGCGGUUGCUUAAGUUUGGUGUGAAAUCUCCCGGCUCAACUGGGAGGGUGCGCCGAAUACUGAGUGACUCGAGUGCGGGAGAGGAGAGUGGAAUUCCUGGUGUAGCGGUGAAAUGCGUAGAUAUCAGGAGGAACACCGGUGGUGUAGACGGCUCUCUGGACCGUAACUGACGCUGAGACACGAAAGCGUGGGUAGCAAACAGGAUUAGAUACCCUGGUAGUCCACGCCCUAAACGAUGCAUAUUUGGUGUGGGCCGUUCAGUCGGUCCGUGCCGGAGCUAACGCGUUAAAUAUGCCGCCUGGGGAGUACAGUCGCAAGGCUGAACUCAAAGGAAUUGACGGGGGCCCGCACAAGCGGUGGAGCAUGUGGUUCAAUUCGACGCAACGCGAAGAACCUUACCUGGGCUCGAA
rnacentral:rRNA from 1 species